GACGAACGCUGGCGGCGUGCUUAACACAUGCAAGUCGAACGGAAAGGCCCUGCUUUUGUGGGCUGCUCGAGUUGCGAACGGGUAAGUAACACGUGAGUAACCUGCCCUUGACUUUGGGAUAACUUCAGGAAACUGGGGCUAAUACCGGAUAGGAGCUCCUGCUGCAUGGUGGGGGUUGGAAAGUUUCGGUGGUUGGGGAUGGACUCGCGGCUUAUCAGCUUGUUGGUGGGGUAGUGGCUUACCAAGGCCUUGACGGGUAGCCGGCCUGAGAGGGUGACAGGACACACUGGGAUUGGACUAAGGCACAGCCCAGUAUGCGAGGCAAGGGUGGAGAAUGUAGCACUGUGGGCGGAAGCAUGAUGCAGUCCAGCAGUGCGCGGGAUGAGAUCAAUGCCGUUGUAAACUGAUUCCGCCUGUCACGAGGCGAGAAUGACGGUACCGGGUAAAGAAGCACCGGCUAACUACGUG
rnacentral:rRNA from 1 species